rnacentral:tRNA from 1 species
AUUUAUAUAGUUUAAUUAAAAUUUUACACUUUCAUUGUAAUGAUAAUGUAUACAUUUAUAAAUA